ACCCAGAGGCUCAAACUCGAGACCUCUGGUUAAGGAUGAAGGAGUACUUACCAGUUACCACUCCACCACAACCCUUGAUACACAAGAGCUAAUUUUCGAUGUUGACGUACGUACGGUGCGACGAUGAAAUCCCGUCAUACUUAACUAAAGGUAUCGAGUUUGCGCAGAUAAUAGAGAAACUCCUUGUAUGAGUGCUUCUCACUUUAACGAGUUCUAUGUGAAUUUGAGUUUAUUGAACUAGUGAGUUUCAGAGAUUAGGUGGUUGAACAUAAAUGGAGAGAACAUUAGAUGCAUGCUUAUUGUGCAGAAUAUUCUACCUUUAAGACUAUAUUCUAAACUUUUUUUUACAGGCAAGUUUCUUUUCACAAAAAAUAAAAAGAUGAAUUAAUAUA